GCAAACUAUGGCCCAUGGAUCCAGUGCGGCCCACCACCUACUUUCACAGAGUGCAGAGGGCACGGAAACUGAGGCAGGAUGGGAUAAGUAGUUUCAGGCCAUGCAGCUGAAGCCUUGAAAAUGGAACUUCUCCAUAAUGCCUGC
rnacentral:lncRNA from 1 species